rnacentral:rRNA from 1 species
UACGUAGGGUGCGAGCGUUAAUCGGAAUUACUGGGCGUAAAGCGUGCGCAGGCGGUUUUGUAAGCCAGAUGUGAAAUCCCCGGGCUCAACCUGGGAAUGGCAUUUGGGACUGCAAGGCUUGAGUGCGGCAGAGGAGACUGGAAUUCCUGGUGUAGCAGCGAAAUGCGUAGAUAUCAGGAGGAAUACCGAUGGCGAAGGCAGGUCUCUGGGCUGACACUGACGCUCAUGCACGAAAGCGUGGGGAGCAAACAGG